rnacentral:tRNA from 1 species
GGAUGGAUGUCUGAGCGGUUGAAAGAGUCGGUCUUGAAAACCAAAGUAUUGAUAGGAAUACUGGGGUUCAAAUUCUUCUCCAUCCG